rnacentral:rRNA from 1 species
GGAUGAACGCCUAACUCGCCGCCUAACACCUGCAAUCCGAGCGCGAUCUGUUGGUAAUCUAGCUAACCGACUAUCAGAGCGGCGUACGGGCGCAGAACAUGUGUGCAAUCUACCCUUAUCAACGGGAUAUCCCAAACAAAUCUGGAUUAAUACCCUAUAACAUAUGGGAUGGCAUCAUUUCGUAUUAAAAGCUACGGCGGAUAACGAUGAUCACGCACAAUAUUACCUAGUUGGUAACGUAACGGCUUACCAAGGCGACGAUUCUUUACGGGGCCUGAGAGGGUGAUCCCCCACGCUAGGACUGACACACUCCCCAGACUCCUACUGGAGGCAGCAGUGAGGAAUAUUGGACAAUGGGUGGAAGCCUGAUCCAGCCAUCCCCCCUGCCCGACAACUGCCCUAUGGGUUGUAAGCUGCUUUUAUAUCAGGAUAAACCUACUCUCGUGAGAGUAGCUGAAGGUACUAUAUGAAUAAGCACCGGCUAACUCCGUGCCAGCAGCCGCGGUAAUACGGAGGGUGCAAGCGUUAUCCGGAUUUAUUGAGUUUAAAGGGUCCGUAGGUGGGCUGAUAAGUCAGCGGUGAAAUCCUGCAACUUAACUGUAGAAGUGCCGUUGAUACUGUUAGUCUUGAGUGUAUUUGAAGUGGCUGGAAUAAGUAGUGUAGCGGUGAAAUGCAUAGAUAUUACUUAGAACACCAAUUGCGAAGGCAGGUCAUUAAGAUACAACUGACGUUGAGGGAAGAAAGCGUGGGGAGGGAACAGGAUAAGAUACAAUGGUAGUCCAGGCUGUAAACGAUGCUAACUAGGUGAUGGUUUGUAUGAAUGAGAGAUUAAGCGAAAGAGAUAAGUUAGCCACCGGGGGAGUACGCUCGCAAGAGUGAAAGUCAAAGGAAUAGACGGGGGCCCGCACAAGCGGAGGAUUAUGUGGGUUAAUUCGAUGAUACGAGAGGAACAUAACCAAGAGGCAAAUGGGAAUCGAGAGGUGUAGAAAUAUGGUGUUUGUGGGACAAUUGUAAAGGUGCUGAAUGGUGGUUGUCAGAUGGGGCCGGGAGGUGUUAGGGUAAGUCCGGGAACGAGCGCAACCCCAGGCAGGAGACGCGAUGAUGCAGUGGGAGACCAUAACGAGACCGCCAGGGCAAGCGGGAGGGAGGCGGUGGAGACGCAAUAUCAUCACGGCCCAUAAUCACUGGCCCGCGCGAGUGGUCGUAUGGCCGAGUACGAAGGGCGUGUUACUAUGUUAUAGAUGAGUAUCUGGUAAGUCUGGUCUCGGAUUAGUCUUGGAGUUUGCCGACUAGUCUAUAUGGCGAGGUAGUCGUUAGUAUUCGAGCCGCAGGCGUGGAGCAGUGGGUAAUUGCUCGUGCCGUGGCACACACCGCCCGUCUAG